CAAAGUGAAGAUGAACCAAUAAGAAUCGACAUGCCCACUAAAGAGCAUAUUAACUUAUAUUAUUUAUGUGUGGUUUUGCAAUUAGUGUACAGAUCGAGAGAAGCGGCGAAACAAACAGGUGGCAGAACAUCGAGAGUUCACGCUAGAUCUAGGGUUGCCAGAGUCCAUGGAAGAGCCGCAAACUGUACCACUAAGGUAUAACACUAGGAGGCAACAUCAAUCUUGGCAACCCCGGUGAUGGAAGAAAUGACAAAAUGUAUAAAUGCUUACCUCGAGUACAACAUCACGUGAAACUAUGAAUACAGGAAGGUGAUGAGCCAUCUAGCCAAGCAAUUCAACAUAGAGUCAUUUCGAUGCCUGCAACCUCCAGCAUUUUGGACAGCACCAUCCGACGCCGCUCAAGUCGGACCAUCCAUUGCCCGAGGAAAGGAGUCGAGUCAUCUAGGAUGAGGGUGGCAUCACCGAGGAGUUCGUUGUCAACGACCUUGCUAACGAUUGAGGGAGUGAAAAAAUUAUUAUAUAUAAUUUUGUAUGUUUCUUUUUCUGUGCAGGAACCCCAUAAGGUAUGAGGCACUACAAAUUUGAGCCAAAAUCGCAAGGAGGAGUUAGUCCCACCAUUUGCGAUGGAUUUUUAACGCUAAUCUGGUAACCUCUUUCUUUUAUUUUUUAUAACACAUUAGGGACAAUGUGCUGAAUAAAGUGUGGGGGUGACAUAGGAAAAUUUUUAAAUCUUUUUGUUAUUUUUUUAAAAUUUUAUUUUGUGUACUUUGUUUGUGCUUGAACUUGUAGAAAUACAAGUUAUCCGUUAGGAGCAUAUACCUAAGUUGUUUGUUUAAUUUGUAAAUCUAGCCUGUAAUUAAAUAAUUUAGCUUUUUUAUAUUUAGAUUAAUGAGUUCAAUUUAUUAAACUGUAAAUAGGAAAAAGAAAUUAAAUACACCAAGUGAUAAAGGCAGAUACGAAUAGGUAAUUAUUUUUAUAGAAGUAUAGGAUGUUUGAAUUAAAAAGAAAAUACUCGAUAAAAUCCAUGAUUAUUGAAAUGUUGCAAUAUGACUAGUAUAACCCUUAUAAAAAGUGCCCGGAAAAAAAUCUUGAUCAUAUUGACACUAAUGAAAAAAAAAAGCAUAAGAGAUUAUUGGAGAAAUAUUACUGCAUUAGAUUUAAAAGCAUGGAAAAAAAUAAGUCAAGUAGGAAAAAAAUAUUCGAACUGACUAUACCCUGCAAAUAUAAAUACUGUAUUCCUCUAUACAUUUUGAUGGACCUAUGUAUUAAUUUUCUUUAACUUGUUUACUUUGUAAUUUAUUGAACUAAUCUGUUUAGGUGUGAAUAACUUUAAAUUGUUUAAAUUUCUAGUUAGAGUUAUAUAUUUAGGGAAAUCUUCUUAGUGUUGAUGCUCCAAUCCAAUCUUGUGUACCAAGCUAACUCAAGUACAUUUUAUUUCCAUUGCAUCUUUAUUUCCUGCUUUCAGUUUUAGUUUUGGUUUAUAUUUUAUUUUGUUUAGUUUGCUUGAGGACAAGCAAAGACUUAAGUGUGGGAGACUUUGACCUGACAUCAAAUAUAGUAUUUAUUUUAGGUCAUUUAUGCAUUUACAAGUUUGUUUCCUAGCACUUUUAUAAUUAAAUAUUACAUUUUUUGUAUUAGAAGCUUAGGAAUAAAAUAUUAAUAAAAUUAACAUUUUUACGUAUUUUUUUCUAUAUCGAUGACCCGUAAGGCCGAAUCAAGCCUCAUGAGUGACUAAUAAGCUAAUUAAGUGUGUAGGAUACCAAUUUGAGUCUAAGAAUACAAGGAAUGAUGACCUGGUCAUGAUACAAGGAAGCCUGGUAGCACAACGAAGUUGUCAGGGCCCAAGAAAGCACUUGAAGUCGUGACGAGGAUUUCCUCUUGUCACGAAUACGCAGCGAUUAGGGGAGGCAAUUCAUGGUGGUGACGUCGUGACAAGGAGCUCUCCCAUGUCCCGACGAUGUGACGAUGGCAGGCCAAAAUAUGGCUAAUUCCUUAGAUGAUACUUUUAGGAAAUUUCCUUAUUUGGAACUUAGCUUUUAGCUUAAUAUUUUAUUUAUUGAUAUCUAAGUGUAUCUUGGGUUAAGUGGUCACCAAGUAGGUCGUUGCCUAUUUAAGUAACUUUAGGAUCACCGAAAUUGGAAGCAGACCUAGACAAACAAUUUUUUAUUCAAUUUAAGUUUUCUUUUCUCUUCAUGUUCAUGCAGUCGAAAGUUUUCUAUUCCGAUGUGAAGACAAUUGCAAGCGGAGAUUGCUCUGG
rnacentral:lncRNA from 1 species